GAAUGGCAGAGUACCACCUGAACCACUUUGAGGUGUCACAUGCUGCCUUCACGAAGGGACACAGCCUGGAUGGUUCAGAUGACACUUUCCGAACGUGGCUCAAACGCUGUGAGGAGAUGAUGCGGCGAAUCAGAACGGAAAUGAGAAUAAGGUCUUCCUACAAUUAUUCUAUCUAUCUCUGUACCAUGCCUGUAUCUAUGUAAGUAUUGCACCAUACACUUUUAAAGGGCCACAAUGGAAAUAAGUAAUUUACUUUAUUGUGCUAUCCCUGGAAAUGUUGCAAUUUUUAUUUAUGUUAUAUUGUGUGUAUUUUCAAACUGAAAUAAAUCAACCAACGCAAACCUUAUGACUGUAUACAGUUUUUUCUGACAUUCAGUUCCACUCUCCGCCUCAUGGGGGCACUGUUGUUCCCAGCUUUCCAAACCUUACUUAUUCUGUUCUAAUUGCUAGAGCGAGCACAUCCAGUAAGCCCGGUCUCUUUCUCCCCUUUUUUGUUUGUUUAAACUUUCUCUCUUUUCCUGGGAUGCCUGGAUGCCACAGCAGACACA